rnacentral:rRNA from 1 species
UACGUAGGCAGCAAGCGUUGUUCGGAAUUACUGGGCGUAAAGAGUGUGUAGGCGGUGCUCUAAGUUCGGUGUGAAAUCUCCCGGCUCAACUGGGAGGGUGCGCUGAAAACUGGGGUGCUCGAGGGUGGGAGAGGUAAGCGGAAUUCCUGGUGUAGCGGUGAAAUGCGUAGAUAUCAGGAGGAACACCUGUGGUGUAGACAGCUUACUGGACCACUUCUGACGCUGAGACACGAAAGCGUGGGUAGCAAAC